rnacentral:rRNA from 1 species
UACGAAGGGGGCUAGCGUUGUUCGGAAUGACUGGGCGUAAAGCGCACGUAGGCGGAUAUUUAAGUUCGGGGUGAAAUCCCAGGGCUCAACCCUGGAACUGCCUCGGAUACUGGGUAUCUUGAGUCCGAGAGAGGUGAGUGGAAUUCCGAGUGUAGAGGUGAAAUUCGUAGAUAUUCGGAGGAACACCAGUGGCGAAGGCGGCUCACUGGCUCGAUACUGACGCUGAGGUGCGAAAGCGUGGGGAGCAAACAGG